rnacentral:rRNA from 1 species
UACAGAGGUCCCGAGCGUUGUUCGGAUUCAUUGGGCGUAAAGGGUGCGUAGGCGGUUUGUCGCGUCGGGAGUGAAAACACGGGGCUUAACCCCGUGCCUGCUUCCGAUACGGGCAGACUAGAGGUAUGCAGGGGAGAACGGAAUUCCUGGUGUAGCGGUGAAAUGCGCAGAUAUCAGGAGGAACACCGGUGGCGAAGGCGGUUCUCUGGGCAUUACCUGACGCUGAGGAGCGAAAGUGUGGGGAGCGAACAGG